rnacentral:rRNA from 1 species
AACGAACGCUGGCGGCAUGCCUAACACAUGCAAGUCGAACGAGACCUUCGGGUCUAGUGGCGCACGGGUGCGUAACGCGUGGGAACCUGCCCUUAGGUUCGGAAUAACUCCCCGAAAGGGGUGCUAAUACCGGAUAAUGUCUUCGGACCAAAGAUUUAUCGCCUUUGGAUGGGCCCGCGUUGGAUUAGCUAGUUGGCAGGGUAAAAGCCUACCAAGGCGACGAUCCAUAGCUGGUCUGAGAGGAUGAUCAGCCACACUGGGACUGAGACACGGCCCAGACUCCUACGGGAGGCAGCAGUGGGGAAUAUUGGACAAUGGGCGAAAGCCUGAUCCAGCAAUGCCGCGUGAGUGAUGAAGGCGUUAGGGUUGUAAAGCUCUUUUACCCGGGAUGAUAAUGACAGUACCGGGAGAAUAAGCUCCGGCUAACUCCGUG